GGGAAAAAGGCUUUUACUAUUUUCUCUGAUCCCUUCUUCCUCACCUAACAUCAGAGUAGCUGGAGGUGAGAAGAAAGAGGACCAAGAGAGAGUUCAGAGAUGGACUGUGUCUUCUCAUUCACCAGCUCCAAGGUGCCAGAGUAAAGAAAGAAAAGUGCAGAUCACAAUCUCAUCCAUUCUACAGGUGGGGCCUUUGCUUGGAGAGGGAGAGAGUAUUUGAAUUUAGAUUAUGUUGCCAGUGUUCAGAGUCUUCUGAAGAAUAAUGGGCUCCUGUUUGAUGUGCAUUUCAUGACAAAAGUGGCUCAACAAAGAUGAUUUUUCUCAAAACCAUUUCAUACCAUAGGUCUAGGGUAGCCCGGGAAUGCUGGGGCUGGAGCCUGCUUGCCUGGGACACUGGAUAGAAUCUGCAGGCCUCUAAGAAAAGCACUGCAUGUGGCCACUUCCAGCCUGGCAAUGGGUCAUGGUGUUCCUGCAGAGGCCAAAGACUGACACAUGGGGAGACGGGUGAUGAGACAUGUGUCUGAUAUCCCUUUCAAGACCUUGUUCUUAUUAUGACCCUGGGAGAAGAAAACUUCACAGUGAUGAAAGCAGUGAAAUGCACUCAGGCACAAGGAAGGGGCUUGAAAUUGGGUGUCCCCAAGCUAUCAUCAGUUCCUAUGUGACAUGGAUGGGACCCAGAAGCUCCCACACGCCCCUUAAAAGGAUAAAUAGAGAUAAUUGGGAGCAUGGUCAAGGAUCUUGCCUGAAGGUCAGUGUAGUGGAGAAAAAAGAGCCAUCUUGGAACUCUCUGGGCCAGGAUCAUGCCCAUAUACUAGGAAGAAUUCAUAGCACCAUCCAGAGCUGAUGUGCUGAUGGGGGCCCAGUCAGCAGGGACAGUAACUGGGCACUGCUGAGCUAUGUACUACCUGAAUGACACAGAUACCAGCAGCUGAUGACAGCAGGAUGAGCAUUGACUCUUGUCCCAGAACUAGUGUGGACUCUGAAUGGUGAUCUGAGACCCUCCUGCCUUCAAAUCAUGAGGACACUUCUGCCCAACACCCUCUAUAUUCAGAUGCUCUCUUGCUGGGGACAGAGAAGGGAGAAAGAG
rnacentral:lncRNA from 1 species